rnacentral:rRNA from 1 species
GACGAACGCUGGCGGCGUGCUUAACACAUGCAAGUCGAACGGAAAGGCCCUGCUUUUGUGGGGUGCUCGAGUGGCGAACGGGUGAGUAACAUGUGAGUAACCUGCCCUUGAUUUUGGUAUAACUUCAGGAAACUGGGGCUAAUACCGGAUAUGAGCUCCUGCUGCAUGGAGGGGGUUGGAAAGUUUCGGCGGGGGGGGAUGGACUCGCGGCUGUUCAGCUUGUUGGUGGGGUAGUGGCUUACCAAGGCAUUGACGGGUAGCCGGCCUGAGAGGGUGACCGGCCACAUUGGGACUGAGAUACGGCCCAGACUCCUACGGGAGGCAGCAGUGGGGAAUAUUGCACAAUGGGCGAAAGCCUGAUGCAGCAACGCCGCGUGCGGGAUGAAGGCCUUCGGGUUGUAAACCGCUUUCGGCUGUGACGAAGCGUGAGUGACGGUAAUGGGUAAAGAAGCACCGGCUAACUACGUG